rnacentral:rRNA from 1 species
GGCUCAGGAUGAACGCUAGCGGCAGGCUUAAUACAUGCAAGUCGUGGGGCAGCAUGAGUAGCAAUACUUGAUGGCGACCGGCAAACGGGUGAGGAACACGUACACAACCUUCCUUCAAGCGGGGAAUAGCCCAGAGAAAUUUGGAUUAAUACCCCAUAAUAUAUUUGAUAAGGCAUCUUAUUAAUAUUAAAGCUUCGGCACUUGAUGAUGGGUGUGCGGCUGAUUAGAUAGUUGGCGGGGUAACGGCCCACCAAGUCUACGAUCAGUAGCUGAUGUGAGAGCAUGAUCAGCCACACGGGCACUGAGACACGGGCCCGACUCCUACGGGAGGCAGCAGUAAGGAAUAUCGGACAAUGGACGAAAGUCUGAUCCAGCCAUGCCGCGUGAAGGAUUAAGGUCCUCUGGAUUGUAAACUUCUUUAUAUGGGACGAAAAAGGGCAUUCUUGUUCACUUGACGGUACCAUAUGAAUAAGCACCGGCUAACUCCGUG